rnacentral:rRNA from 1 species
UACGUAGGGUCCGAGCGUUGUCCGGAUUUACUGGGCGUAAAGAGCGCGCAGGCGGUCGUACAAGUCGCGUGUGAAAGCCCCCGGCUCAACUGGGGAGGGUCACGCGAUACUGUUCGACUCGAAGGCAGGAGAGGGAAGCGGAAUUCCCGGUGUAGUGGUGAAAUGCGUAGAUAUCGGGAGGAACACCAGUGGCGAAGGCGGCUUCCUGGCCUGUUCUUGACGCUGAGGCGCGAAAGCUAGGGUAGCAAACGGG